rnacentral:rRNA from 1 species
AUUGAACGCUGGCGGCAUGCCUUACACAUGCAAGUCGAACGGCAGCACGGGUGCUUGCCCCUGGUGGUGAGUGGCGAACGGGUGAGUAAUACAUCGGAACAUGUCCUGUAGUGGGGGAUAGCCCGGCGAAAGCCGGAUUAAUACCGCAUACGAUCCACGGAUGAAAGCGGGGGACCUUCGGGCCUCGCGCUAUAGGGUUGGCCGAUGGCUGAUUAGCUAGUUGGUGGGGUAAAGGCCUACCAAGGCGACGAUCAGUAGCUGGUCUGAGAGGACGACCAGCCACACUGGGACUGAGACACGGCCCAGACUCCUACGGGAGGCAGCAGUGGGGAAUUUUGGACAAUGGGCGAAAGCCUGAUCCAGCAAUGCCGCGUGUGUGAAGAAGGCCUUCGGGUUGUAAAGCACUUUUGUCCGGAAAGAAAUCCUUGGCUCUAAUACAGUCGGGGGAUGACGGUACCGGAAGAAUAAGCACCGGCUAACUACGUG